UACGAAGGGUGCAAGCGUUACUCGGAAUUACUGGGCGUAAAGCGUGCGUAGGUGGUCUGUUAAGUCUGAUGUGAAAUCCCCGGGCUCAACCUGGGAACUGCAUUUGUGACUGCAUGGCUAGAGUGCGGCAGAGGGGGAUGGAAUUCCGCGUGUAGCAGUGAAAUGCGUAGAUAUGCAGAGGAACACCGAUGGCGAAGGCAAUCCCCUGGGCCUGCACUGACGCUCAUGCACGAAAGCGUGGGGAGCAAACAGG
rnacentral:rRNA from 1 species